AUUGGUUCUAGUCCAGAAGGAUUGUGGACAAACGUGACCUGAUGGAUCUUUUUGACUGUUCUAGAGAUUGUGGUGAAAGUAGCAUUCUGUAAUGUCUGAAAUCUGAAGAAGUUCAUUUUCAGAGGCCUUUCUCCAGGUCCUUCCAUCUACCAAGCAAAGAUUGCUUCCUGGGUCAUAAUUCCAUUUAAAACCCUUGCAGCAGAGCAGUGGAGUCCAAGAAGCUGCUUUCCAUAGGAUGCAGUUAUUGGUCCAUCUAGCACAAUAUUGUUUCCACUGGUGUGCACAGUAUUUGCAGAUACAUACAGUCCUUGAAAAUGUGAGCCCCAGAAAAAUGCAUUAAUUUCUACAUGACCUAAUGGUUGUUAAAUAUAAUCUCAUGAUCAUUAAUAAA